UACAGAGGGUGCGAGCGUUGUCCGGAAUCACUGGGCGUAAAGGGCGCGUAGGUGGCCUGAUAAGUCGGGGGUGAAACGCUGCGGCUCAACCGCAGCACUGCCUUCGAGACUGUCAGGCUUGAGCACGGUAGAGGCUGGUGGAAUUCCCGGUGUAGCGGUGGAAUGCGUAGAGAUCGGGAGGAACACCUGUGGCGAAAGCGGCGCACUGGACCACAACUGACGCUGAGGCGCGAAAGCUAGGGGAGCAAUCAGG
rnacentral:rRNA from 1 species